UACGAUGGGGGCUAGCGUUGCUCGGAAUCACUGGGCGUAAAGGGUGCGUAGGCGGGUCUUUAAGUCAGGGGUGAAAUCCUGGAGCUCAACUCCAGAACUGCCUUUGAUACUGAAGAUCUUGAGUUCGGGAGAGGUGAGUGGAACUGCGAGUGUAGAGGUGAAAUUCGUAGAUAUUCGCAAGAACACCAGUGGCGAAGGCGGCUCACUGGCCCGAUACUGACGCUGAUGCACGAAAGCGUGGGGAGCAAACAGG
rnacentral:rRNA from 1 species